UACACGACUCUCGGCAACGGAUAUCUAGGCUCUCGCAUCGAUGAAGAACGUAGCAAACUGCGAUACUUGGUGUGAAUUGCAGAAUCCCGUGAACCAUCGAGUCUUUGAACGCAAGUUGCGCCCGAAKCCAUUAGGCCGAGGGCACGUCUGCCUGGGCGUCACGCAUCGCGU
rnacentral:rRNA from 1 species